GACAGAGGAUGCAAGCGUUAUCCGGAAUGAUUGGGCGUAAAGCGUCUGUAGGUGGCUUUUCAAGUCCGCCGUCAAAUCCCAGGGCUCAACCCUGGACAGGCGGUGGAAACUACCAAGCUGGAGUACGGUAGGGGCAGAGGGAAUUUCCGGUGGAGCGGUGAAAUGCAUUGAGAUCGGAAGGAACGCCCGUGGCGAAAGCGAGUCCCUGGACCCUUUCUGACGCUGAGACGCGAAAGCCAGGGGAGCGAACGGG
rnacentral:rRNA from 1 species